rnacentral:rRNA from 1 species
AUUGAACGCUGGCGGCAGGCCUAACACAUGCAAGUCGGGCGAGUGGCGGACGGGUGAGUAAUGUAUGGGGAUCUGCCCGAUGGCGGGGGAUAACUACUGGAAACGGUAGCUAAUACCGCAUACCAUCAGAUGAACCCAUAUGGGAUUAGCUAGUAGGUAAGGUAACGGCUAACCUAGGCAACGAUCCCUAGCUGGUCUGAGAGGAUGACCAGCCACACUGGGACUGAGAAACGGCCCAGACUCCUACGGGAGGCAGAAGUGGGGAAUAUUGCACAAUGGGCGCAAGCCUGAUGCAGCCAUGCCGCGUGUAUGAAGAAGGCCUUCGGGUUGUAAAGUACUUUCAGUGGGGAGGCGUUACCGGCAGAAGAAGCACCGGCUAACUCCGUGCCAGCAGCCGCGGUAAUUC